AAAACUAGGAGCCUGGAAGGCCGGACUGGGUCUCCGUGGGAGGGGCCUGGGUCUGGAGAGCAGGGCAAGGUCUCCUGGGCCUAGGGGACGGGGAUGGGGCUGGGUCUCAGAGGAGGCAGGGUUUACGUGCGGAAGAGCGGACUUGGUCUCCGGGGUCCCGAGUGGGUGACGCGGCCCGCCACAGUUGCUUCCUGAAGGUGAGCCGGCUGGAGGCACAACUGCUCCUGGAGCGCUACCCCGAGUGCGGGAACCUGCUGCUGCGGCCCAGCGGGGACGGCGCUGACGGCGUGUCGGUCACCACGCGGCAGAUGCACAACGGGACGCACGUGGUCCGGCAUUACAAGGUGAAGCGGGAGGGCCCCAAGUACGUGAUCGAUGUGGAACAGCCGUUCUCUUGCACCUCCCUGGACGCCGUGGUCAACUAUUUCGUGUCGCAUACCAAAAAGGCGCUGGUGCCAUUCCUGUUAGACGAGGACUACGAGAAGGUGCUAGGCUACGUGGAAGCCGAUAAGGAGAAUGGCGAGAAUGUGUGGGUGGCGCCCUCCGCUCCGGGCCCAGGUCCUGCACCCUGCACAGGUGGCCCCAAGCCGCUGUCACCUGCGUCUGUGCCUGUGUCUAGCCAGGACAAGCUGCCCCCACUGCCCCCACUACCGAACCAGGAAGAGAACUACGUGACCCCCAUUGGAGAUGGCCCAGCU
rnacentral:sRNA from 1 species